UCAAAUUUAAUUAAAAGUCUAUUUAGGAUUUUGAUUACACAAUAAAUUAAAUUGAUUUGGCGGUUUUUUAACCUUUUUAGAGGAACCUGUGAAUUAAUUCGAUAAUCCACGAUUUUAAAAACCUUAAUUUUCUUGUAUAUCUCUAUAACUGAAUAUAUUUUGAGGUUAAUUUUCUUCUUUUUAGUUAAAUCUUAAUUUAGGUCAAGGUGCAGUUGUAUUGAGGGUUUAAUGGGUUACAUCAAUAUAUGUUUGUGGGUUUCUUAUUAAAACGAGAAUAAAAUUGGAUUUAAAAGUAUAAUUUUUUAUUAAAAAAUUAGAAUAAUGCUCUGAAUUAUGU
rnacentral:rRNA from 1 species